CGGAGUUACAAAGGACGACAUUAGACGAAUCAUCUGGAAAGAUGAAUCAAAGAAGGUAAUAAUCCUGUAGUCGAAAAUGUUGUCUCUCUUGAGUGGAUCCUGAGUACGACGGAGCACGUGAAAUUCCGUCGGAAUCUGGGAGGACCAUCUCCUAAGGCUAAAUACUCUCUAGUGACCGAUAGUGAACCAGUACCGUGAGGGAAAGGUGAAAAGCACCCCGGAAGGGGAGUGAAAUAGAACCUGAAACCGUGUGCUUACAAGUAGUCAGAGCCCGUUAAUGGGUGAUGGCGUGCCUUUUGUAGAAUGAACCGGCGAGUUACGAUUUGAUGCAAGGUUAAGCAGUAAAUGUGGAGCCGUAGCGAAAGCGAGUCUGAAUAGGGCGUUUAGUAUUUGGUCGUAGACCCGAAACCAGGUGAUCUACCCUUGGUCAGGUUGAAGUUCAGGUAACACUGAAUGGAGGACCGAACCGACUUACGUUGAAAAGUGAGCGGAUGAACUGAGGGUAGCGGAGAAAUUCCAAUCGAACCUGGAGAUAGCUGGUUCUCUCCGAAAUAGCUUUAGGGCUAGCCUCAAGUGAUGAUUAUUGGAGGUAGAGCACUGUUUGGACGAGGGGCCCCUCUCGGGUUACCGAAUUCAGACAAACUCCGAAUGCCAAUUAAUUUAACUUGGGAGUCAGAACAUGGGUGAUAAGGUCCGUGUUCGAAAGGGAAACAGCCCAGACCACCAGCUAAGGUCCCAAAAUAUAUGUUAAGUGGAAAAGGAUGUGGCGUUGCCCAGACAACUAGGAUGUUGGCUUAGAAGCAGCCAUCAUUUAAAGAGUGCGUAAUAGCUCACUAGUCGAGUGACACUGCGCCGAAAAUGUACCGGGGCUAAACAUAUUACCGAAGCUGUGGAUUGUCCUUUGGACAAUGGUAGGAGAGCGUUCUAAGGGCGUUGAAGCAUGAUCGUAAGGACAUGUGGAGCGCUUAGAAGUGAGAAUGCCGGUGUGAGUAGCGAAAGACGGGUGAGAAUCCCGUCCACCGAUUGACUAAGGUUUCCAGAGGAAGGCUCGUCCGCUCUGGGUUAGUCGGGUCCUAAGCUGAGGCCGACAGGCGUAGGCGAUGGAUAACAGGUUGAUAUUCCUGUACCACCUAUAAUCGUUUUAAUCGAUGGGGGGACGCAGUAGGAUAGGCGAAGCGUGCGAUUGGAUUGCACGUCUAAGCAGUAAGGCUGAGUAUUAGGCAAAUCCGGUACUCAUUAAGGCUGAGCUGUGAUGGGGAGAAGACAUUGUGUCUUCGAGUCGUUGAUUUCACACUGCCGAGAAAAGCCUCUAGAUAGAAAAUAGGUGCCCGUACCGCAAACCGACACAGGUAGUCAAGAUGAGAAUUCUAAGGUGAGCGAGCGAACUCUCGUUAAGGAACUCGGCAAAAUGACCCCGUAACUUCGGGAGAAGGGGUGCUCUUUAGGGUUAACGCCCAGAAGAGCCGCAGUGAAUAGGCCCAAGCGACUGUUUAUCAAAAACACAGGUCUCUGCUAAACCGUAAGGUGAUGUAUAGGGGCUGACGCCUGCCCGGUGCUGGAAGGUUAAGAGGAGUGGUUAGCUUCUGCGAAGCUACGAAUCGAAGCCCCAGUAAACGGCGGCCGUAACUAUAACGGUCCUAAGGUAGCGAAAUUCCUUGUCGGGUAAGUUCCGACCCGCACGAAAGGCGUAACGAUUUGGGCACUGUCUCAACGAGAGACUCGGUGAAAUCAUAGUACCUGUGAAGAUGCAGGUUACCCGCGACAGGACGGAAAGACCCCGUGGAGCUUUACUGUAGCCUGAUAUUGAAAUUCGGCACAGCUUGUACAGGAUAGGUAGGAGCCUUUGAAACGUGAGCGCUAGCUUACGUGGAGGCGCUGGUGGGAUACUACCCUAGCUGUGUUGGCUUUCUAACCCGCACCACUUAUCGUGGUGGGAGACAGUGUCAGGCGGGCAGUUUGACUGGGGCGGUCGCCUCCUAAAAGGUAACGGAGGCGCUCAAAGGUUCCCUCAGAAUGGUUGGAAAUCAUUCAUAGAGUGUAAAGGCAUAAGGGAGCUUGACUGCGAGACCUACAAGUCGAGCAGGGUCGAAAGACGGACUUAGUGAUCCGGUGGUUCCGCAUGGAAGGGCCAUCGCUCAACGGAUAAAAGCUACCCCGGGGAUAACAGGCUUAUCUCCCCCAAGAGUUCACAUCGACGGGGAGGUUUGGCACCUCGAUGUCGGCUCAUCGCAUCCUGGGGCUGUAGUCGGUCCCAAGGGUUGGGCUGUUCGCCCAUUAAAGCGGUACGCGAGCUGGGUUCAGAACGUCGUGAGACAGUUCGGUCCCUAUCCGUCGUGGGCGUAGGAAAUUUGAGAGGAGCUGUCCUUAGUACGAGAGGACCGGGAUGGACAUACCUCUGGUGUACCAGUUGUCGUGCCAACGGCAUAGCUGGGUAGCUAUGUGUGGACGGGAUAAGUGCUGAAAGCAUCUAAGCAUGAAGCCCCCCUCAAGAUGAGAUUUCCCAACUUCGGUUAUAAGAUCCCUCAAAGAUGAUGAGGUUAAUAGGUUCGAGGUGGAAGCAUGGUGACAUGUGGAGCUGACGAAUACUAAUCGAUCGAAGACUUAAUCAA
rnacentral:rRNA from 3 species